rnacentral:rRNA from 1 species
CGCCUAACACAUGCAAGUCGAACGAAGUAGCAAUACUUAGUGGCAGACGGGUGAGUAACAUGUAGGUAUCUACCCUAUGGCCUGGAAUAACACGAGGAAACUUGUGCUAAUACCGGAUAAGUCUUUACGGAGAAAGCUUUAUGCACCAUUGGAUGAGCCUGCACUUGAUUAGUUUGUUGGUAGGGUAAUGGCCUACCAAGACUGUGAUCAAUAGCUGAUUUGAGAGGAUGAUCAGCCACAUUGGGACUGAGACACGGCCCAAACUCCUACGGGAGGCAGCAGUGGGGAAUCUUGCACAAUGGAGGAAACUCUGAUGCAGCGAUGCCGCGUGAGUGAAGAAGGCCCUUGGGUUGUAAAGCUCUUUCGUCGGGGAAGAAAAUGACUGUACCCGAAUAAGAAGGUCCGGCUAACUUCGUGCCAGCAGCCGCGGUAAUACGAAGGGACCUAGCGUAGUUCGGAAUUACUGGGCUUAAAGAGUUCGUAGGUGGUUGAAAAAGUUGGUGGUGAAAUCCCAGAGCUUAACUCUGGAACUGCCAUCAAAACUUUUCAGCUAGAGUAUGAUAGAGGAAAGCAGAAUUUCUAGUGUAGAGGUGAAAUUCGUAGAUAUUAGAAAGAAUACCAAUUGCGAAGGCAGCUUUCUGGAUCAUUACUGACACUGAGGAACGAAAGCAUGGGUAGCGAAGAGGAUUAGAUACCCUCGUAGUCCAUGCCGUAAACGAUGUGUGUUAGACGUUGGAAAUUUAUUUUCAGUGUCGCAGCGAAAGCGAUAAACACACCGCCUGGGGAGUACGACCGC